rnacentral:misc_RNA from 1 species
UUAUCAGAUUACGAUGUUCAUACGUUCAUUACACUAUGUUUGCAGGGCCGAGGCCCAGUGUGCACAGGUGUGAAUCGUAAGGCCCCAGGGGGCAUUCACUAAUGAUCCUUCCGCAGGUUCACCUACGGAAA